UUGGAGGGCAAGUCUGGUGCCAGCAGCCGCGGUAAUUCCAGCUCCAAUAGCGUAUAUUAAAGUUGUUGCAGUUAAAAAGCUCGUAGUUGAAUUUCGGGAUUGACACAUCGGUCGUGCCUUAAGGGGUAUGAACUGGUGUAGUCAAUUUCUCACCUUCUGGAGAACCACGAUGCCCUUAGUUGGGUGUCGCGGGGAACCAGGACCUUUACUUUGAAAAAAUUAGAGUGUUUAAAGCAGGCAUUAUGCUUGAAUACAUUAGCAUGGAAUAAUAAAAUAGGACGGCAUGAUUCUAUUUUGUUGGUUUCUAGGAUCACCGUAAUGAUUAAUAGGGAUAGUUGGGGGCAUUAGUAUUCAAUUGUCAGAGGUGAAAUUCUUGGAUUUAUUGAAGACUAACUACUGCGAAAGCAUUUGCCAAGGAUGUUUUCAUUAAUCAAGAACGAAAGUUAGGGGAUCGAAGACGAUCAGAUACCGUCGUAGUCUUAACCAUAAACUAUGCCGACUAGGAAUCAGACGAUGUUAAUUUUUUAAUGACUCGUUUGGCACCUUACAGGAAACCAAAGUGUUUGGGUUC
rnacentral:rRNA from 1 species